rnacentral:rRNA from 1 species
AACAGGAUUAGAUACCCUGGUAGUCCACGCCGUAAACGAUGCAUAUUAUUCGUAUGGAGUAUCGACCCUCUGUGCGGAGAAGCUAACGCGAUAAAUAUGCCGCCUGGGGAGUACGAGCGCAAGCUUAAAACUCAAAGGAAUUGACGGGGCUCCGCACAAGCAGUGGAUUAUGUGGUUUAAUGCGAUGCUACGCGCAGAACCUUACCGAGGCUUGACAUCCCGAUCACACCCCUGUGAAAGCAGGGGGUCAGUUCGGCUGGAUCGGUGACAGAUGUUGCAUGGCCGCCGUCAGCUCGUGUCGUGAGAUGUUGGGUUAAGUCCCGCAACGAGCGCAACCCUUGUCGUGUGUUGUAUUUUUCACGCGAGACCGCCCGGGCCAACCGGGAGGAAGGUGGGGAUGACGUCAGGUCCGCAUGGCUCUUACGCCUCGGGCUACACACGUAAUACAAUGGCCGGUACAACGGGUCGCUAAAUCGCGAGAUGGAGCUAAUCCCAUCAAAACCGGUCCCAGUUCGGAUUGCAGGCUGCAACUCGCCUGCAUGAAGUUGGAAUUGCUAGUAACCGUGGGUCGGCAUACCACGGUGAAUACGUUCCCGGAGCUUGUACACACCGCCCGUCAAGUCACGAAAAUUGGGAGUACCCGACGUGCCUACUUUGCUAGGCCCUAAGGUAAAUCCAGUAAUUGGGACUAAGUCGUAACAAGGUAACCGUAA